AAUGUUGUAAUAAGGUUUCCAUAGGUGAACCUGCAGAAGGAUCAUUAUUGAAUAUUCUUGAUGGGUUGUAGCUGGCUCUUUGGGGCAUGUGCACACCUGUCUUGACUUUAUUCAUCCACCUGUGCACCUUCUGUAGUCUUGGGGGUUGAGAGCAGUCAGUAAUCGGAUGACCAGUAGUCACUCUGGAUGUGAGGAAUGCUGUGCGAAAGCAUACAGCUCUUCUCAAAGUGACUUGUAAACCUCUCCUUCAAGUACUAUGUAUUCAUAUACCCAUAGUAUGUUGUAGAAUGUGAUGAAUGGGCCUAAGUGCCUAUAACAAUCUUAUACAACUUUCAGCAACGGAUCUCUUGGCUCUC
rnacentral:misc_RNA from 1 species